rnacentral:rRNA from 1 species
CCUACGGGUGGCAGCAGUGGGGAAUAUUGGGCAAUGGGCGCAAGCCUGACCCAGCAACGCCGCGUGAAGGAAGAAGGCUUUCUGGUUGUAAACUUCUUUUAAGAGGGAAGAGCAGAAGACGGUACCUCUUGAAUCAGCCACGGCUAACUACGUGCCAGCAGCCGCGGUAAUACGGAGGGUGCGAGCGUUAAUCGGAAUUACUGGGCGUAAAGCGCUCGUAGGCGGUAUGUCAAGUCAAGGGUGAAAUCCCCGCGCUCAACGUGGGAACUGACUUUGAAACUGGCAAACUGGAGUGUGUGAGAGGAGAGUGGAAUUCCAGGUGUAGGAGUGAAAUCCGUAGAUAUCUGGAGGAACAUCAGUGGCGAAGGCGACUAGCUGGCACAUAACUGACGCUGAGGAGCGAAAGCGUGGGUAGCAAACAGGAUUAGAUACCCCAGUAGUC